rnacentral:rRNA from 1 species
CCUACGGCGGCUGCAGUGGGGAAUAUUGGACAAUGGGCGAAAGCCUGAUCCAGCCAUGCCGCGUGUGUGAAGAAGGCCUUCGGGUUGUAAAGCACUUUCAGUGGGGAAGAAAGCCUUGGGGCUAAUACCCUCGAGGAAGGACAUCACCCACAGAAGAAGCACCGGCUAACUCCGUGCCAGCAGCCGCGGUAAUACGGAGGGUGCGAGCGUUAAUCGGAAUUACUGGGCGUAAAGCGCGCGUAGGCGGUCUGAUAAGCCGGUUGUGAAAGCCCCGGGCUCAACCUGGGAACGGCAUCCGGAACUGUCAGGCUAGAGUGCAGGAGAGGAAGGUAGAAUUCCCGGUGUAGCGGUGAAAUGCGUAGAGAUCGGGAGGAAUACCAGUGGCGAAGGCGGCCUUCUGGACUGACACUGACGCUGAGGUGCGAAAGCGUGGGUAGCAAACAGGAUUAGAUACCCUUGUAGUC